GAUUGGUCCGAAGGUGGUGAAUUAUCUCACUUGAUUGUUCUUCCCCUUCUCACUACUGUGCUUGAUUAGUCUUUA
ensembl:misc_RNA Y_RNA Y RNA